rfam:Aedes aegypti strain Liverpool supercont1.177 genomic scaffold, whole genome shotgun sequence.
CCUCUCAUGGCGUAGUGGUAAAGCGCCCCAACUAGAGAUCGGGGAGUCGUGAGUUCGAUUCUCACUGAGAAGA